AUUGAACGCUGGCGGCAUGCUUUACACAUGCAAGUCGAACGGCAGCGCGGGCUUCGGCCUGGCGGCGAGUGGCGAACGGGUGAGUAAUGCAUCGGAACGUGCCCAGUAGUGGCGGAUAGCCCGGCGAAAGCCGGAUUAAUACCGCAUACGACCUGAGGGUGAAAGCGGGGGACCGAAAGGCCUCGCGCUAUUGGAGCGGCCGAUGUCGGAUUAGCUAGUUGGUGGGGUAAAGGCUUACCAAGGCGACGAUCCGUAGCUGGUCUGAGAGGACGACCAGCCACACUGGGACUGAGACACGGCCCAGACUCCUACGGGAGGCAGCAGUGGGGAAUUUUGGACAAUGGGGGCAACCCUGAUCCAGCCAUGCCGCGUGCGGGAAGAAGGCCUUCGGGUUGUAAACCGCUUUUGUUCGGGAAGAAAUCCUCUGGGCUAAUACCCCGGGGGGAUGACGGUACCGGAAGAAUAAGCACCGGCUAACUACGUG
rnacentral:rRNA from 1 species